rnacentral:rRNA from 1 species
GACGUAGGGCGCGAGCGUUGUCCGGAUUUAUUGGGCGUAAAGAGCUCGUAGGCGGCUUGUCGCGUCUGCUGUGAAAACCCGAGGCUCAACCUCGGGCCUGCAGUGGGUACGGGCAGACUAGAGUGCGGUAGGGGAGAUUGGAAUUCCUGGUGUAGCGGUGGAAUGCGCAGAUAUCAGGAGGAACACCGAUGGCGAAGGCAGAUCUCUGGGCCGUAACUGACGCUGAGGAGCGAAAGCGUGGGGAGCGAACAGG